UCAUAGCCCUGAUUGCAAUGAAAAUCCUUUUUUACGUCAGUUCGAGUUCGGCUGUAAAGCGAAUAUCGAGAAAUAGUAAAAAAGAUUGCAAUGGAAAGUGGGACACGAG
rnacentral:sRNA from 1 species